UUAGUGUUUGUAGCUGGCCAUCAAGAGUUUGAUGGUAUAAAUUAUAAUUUGAAAAAAUAUUUGUUGUGAUAAAGAUGUACGUGUGUUUGAAAACAUAUGGAUAUUUCAGUUGUUUUCAAAACAACUUUUCUCUGUAUUAAAGAGUACUAGUGGCUGAAUGCAGUUUUAUUAUGUGAACAUUAUUGAGAUGGAGAACAAAAAUAAAAUGUGCUGGUAAUUUUAUCCCUUACCUUCUAUAAACUAGGUGGCAUACCCACUUAAUUCACAGGGAGUCAGUAAUAAAUGCUGACUCUUCCCCAUGGGUACAUGCCAGGUUUGGUGACAGUAGGUCCAGGUGUUGGCCAGCUAUAUGUGGAUACAUACACGAGGCCAACCAUGUAUGUAGAAAAGCUUCUCUUGGCCUUGACCUUGCACCAGUAUUAUACAGUGCUGUGAAUCAGCUCUAAUACCAGAGAAAUUGGAGAUAAACUCCAAUAAUACCAUAAAGUCCCUCAUCUUCAGAAGGUUGCCUGGAGCUUAAGAAAAGAAGAGAAAAAGGCUUGUUCUACAUGUGCAGCUUCAAGAAACUCCUUCAGUGAUGGUAGCAAGUGCUUCUCAACCAGUUUCUAUGGUCGAAGUGACAGUUGGCCUGCUAUUAGUGACAUGAUGUUCAGGAACACUUCGGUUAAAGUGUAGACUUUCAAAAUUAAAUGAACCUUAUUAUUAUUAUUAUUGACUUGUAUGAACAAACUU